rnacentral:ncRNA from 1 species
AAAAUGACGAUGACCGGAAGUAGUAAAAGUACAGAGCUCACAGAGAGGGUAUGCCAGGCUGCAACGUACCUAGCUUUAUGGCUUUGAAGUCGUCCGUGAGUCGGUAGGCUGAAAUCAAAGUAGGUUUAUCCGUUAGCGCACGUUACGCGUUUCAAGUGUCCGGACUAAACUUUGAUUUAAGUCUGGGAAAAUAGGUGGUACCGCGGAGUUUUUCGUCCUGUUC